rnacentral:rRNA from 1 species
AUACAGAGGGUGCAAGCGUUAAUCGGAUUUACUGGGCGUAAAGCGCGCGUAGGCGGCUAAUUAAGUCAAAUGUGAAAUCCCCGAGCUUAACUUGGGAAUUGCAUUCGAUACUGGUUAGCUAGAGUGUUGGAGAGGAUGGUAGAAUUCCAGGUGUAGCGGUGAAAUGCGUAGAGAUCUGGAGGAAUACCGAUGGCGAAGGCAGCCAUCUGGCCUAACACUGACGCUGAGGUGCGAAAGCAUGGGGAGCAAACAGGAUUAGAAACCCCAGUAGUCC